CCUGAUCCAGCCAUGCCGCGUGUGUGAAGAAGGCCUUUUGGUUGUAAAGCACUUUAAGCGAGGAGGAGGCUCUCCUAGUUAAUACCUAGGAUGAGUGGACGUUACUCGCAGAAUAAGCACCGGCUAACUCUGUGCCAGCAGCCGCGGUAAUACAGAGGGUGCGAGCGUUAAUCGGAUUUACUGGGCGUAAAGCGUGCGUAGGCGGCUGAUUAAGUCGGAUGUGAAAUCCCUGAGCUUAACUUAGGAAUUGCAUUCGAUACUGGUCAGCUAGAGUAUGGGAGAGGAUGGUAGAAUUCCAGGUGUAGCGGUGAAAUGCGUAGAGAUCUGGAGGAAUACCGAUGGCGAAGGCAGCCAUCUGGCCUAAUACUGACGCUGAGGUACGAAAGCAUGGGGAGCAAACAGGAUUAGAUACCCUGGUAGUCCAUGCCGUAAACGAUGUCUACUAGCCGUUGGGGCCUUUGAGGCUUUAGUGGCGCAGCUAACGCGAUAAGUAGACCGCCUGGGGAGUACGGUCGCAAGACUAAAACUCAAAUGAAUUGACGGGGGCCCGCACAAGCGGUGGAGCAUGUGGUUUAAUUCGAUGCAACGCGAAGAACCUUACCUGGCCUUGACAUACUAGAAACUUUCCAGAGAUG
rnacentral:rRNA from 1 species